rnacentral:rRNA from 1 species
AGCAGUCGCCGCGGUAAUACGUAGGUGGCAAGCGUUGUCCGGAAUUAUUGGGCGUAAAGGGCUCGCAGGCGGUUUCUUAAGUCGGAUGUGAAAGCCCCCGGCUCAACCGGGGAGGGUCAUUGGAAACUGGGAAACUUGAGUGCAGAAGAGGAGAGUGGAAUUCCACGUGUAGCGGUGAAAUGCGUAGAGAUGUGGAGGAACACCAGUGGCGAAGGCGACUCUCUGGUCUGUAACUGACGCUGAGGAGCGAAAGCGUGGGGAGCGAACAGGAUUAGAUACCCGUGUAGUCCCUGUCUCUUAUAC